CUCUCUCUCCUGUCAUUCAGGUAUCUCUCUGCUGCUGACUCUAGAACUCAUCUCUCUCCUGUCAUUCAGAUAACAUGAAGAUCUCUAUCUUUGCCGGUGUUCUGUUGACUCUCUUUGCCAACUGUGCAGUUGCUUUAUUUUUGAUUUUUUAAGGGGGAUAAAGAUGAAAAGUUUGCAAAAGAGCAUAUCGUGGCUAACCUAUGCACCCAGGUGAUG